rnacentral:tRNA from 1 species
GCGGGCGUGGCGAAACUGGUAGACGCGCCAGAUUUAGGGUCUGGUGACCUAGUCGUGGGGGUUCAAGUCCCUCCGCCCGCACCA